CUCUGACAGCUGAUUUGUUUUGACAAGAUUAAAAAAAAAACAAGAACAUACAAUACGCACAAAGUAAAUGCUUGGAUUCUUCGAAUUAUAAAAAUAAAAACAAUUAAAAACAAGAAAAAGAAGCGACAUGAAUAACCCGAAGGAAUCCGUCACUAUCCAGUUAGUACACAGAUGAAGUCAACAAUAUCCUAUGGUCGGCGAUGAGAGUGCUCCUCAGAGUGUUCUACAUAAACCGACUCCAUCCAUCAAACAAUAAUAAUGUAGAUCCGAAGAAACGCCAGGAAAACAACCACCUUAAGCCCAUGCAGCACAUAGAGUACGAUGUUCAAUAAAAGUUCCAUUUGUCGUUGAUACCAAUUGCCUCCUCCCAGCCAAAAGUAUGAUAUCCGAUGACGAAGGUGCAAGUAAUGGAAGCCAUUCAGAUAAUAAACCGAGUCAAUCACGAGUGGGUGACAACUGUAUUUGUGAAAGAUUUGUUGGGCGAUGAGCAAUGCUGGAGGAAAACAAUGACGAUGAAGUUGAAAUUAUGGAACUUUUAUUCAUUAUCAACCUGUGAUGACAGCAGCAUUUCUUUCUGAAUUUUUUACAAUUGUCAACAAGUUGCGUUGCAUUCAACGUUUCCAUGACAGUACGCAAGUUCUACACAUUUGCCCGGUGGAUCUCAGUCGGUUGACCAUAAAUUUAUUCACUCCAUCAGCACAAAAUAACCACUAUAACCAGUCCAAUUUACAGAAAUCAUAUUCGCAGUUCGCACCUACUUUUGUUGCAAAACUUCAUUGACUGCUGGUGGGAUGCUCUAACAUUGAAUGUGCUUAUGUGCAAUGGCUUGAGCAUCUAAUUCAAAGUUUGAGAAUUUAAAAUGCGCGAGUAAAAAAUGGGCGAAAAGAUACAGACGGACUGUGUUGCAAUUUACUUCGCAGAUUUGGACUUAGAAUUCGAUGGGUGGAUCCGAAUUUGACAUCAUGAAAACUGAUGCUGUUUGUCAAAUAUAUUUAUAUUCUAGCCGAACUGAAUACUUUUUUUGAUGCGUAUACCUAUUUUCGAAAUGCCACCAGAUUAGGUAUAUCGCGAUUGGACAGUUAAUAUGUUGUUGCAUUUUUUAUUUC